UACGUAGGGGGGCAAGCGUUGUCCGGAUUUAUUGGGCGUAAAGAGCGUGUAGGCGGCCUGACAGGUCUGCUGUGAAAAACUCGAGGCUCAACCUCGAGAUGUCGGCGGAAACCGUCUGGCUAGAGUCCGGAAGAGGAGAGUGGAAUUCCUGGUGUAGCGGUGAAAUGCGCAGAUAUCAGGAGGAACACCAAUGGCGAAGGCAGCUCGCUGGGACGUUACUGACGCUGAGACGCGAAAGCGUGGGGGAGCAAACAGG
rnacentral:rRNA from 1 species